rnacentral:rRNA from 1 species
CUCCUACGGGAGGCAGCAGUGAGGAAUAUUGGUCAAUGGGCGCAAGCCUGAUCCAGCCAUGCCGCGUGAAGGAUGAAGGCCCUAUGGGUUGUAAACUUCUUUUGUACAGGACGAACCAUCUCUACGUGUAGAGAUCUGACGGUACUGUAUGAAUAAGCAACGGCUAACUCCGUGCCAGCAGCCGCGGUAAUACGUAGGAUCCAAGCGUUAUCCGGAAUCAUUGGGUUUAAAGGGUCCGUAGGCGGUCAAGUAAGUCAGUGGUGAAAGCCCAUCGCUCAACGGUGGAACGGCCAUUGAUACUGCUUGACUUGAAUUAUUAGGAAGUAACUAGAAUAUGUAGUGUAGCGGUGAAAUGCUUAGAGAUUACAUGGAAUACCAAUUGCGAAGGCAGGUUACUACUAAUGGAUUGACGCUGAUGGACGAAAGCGUGGGUAGCGAACAGGAUUAGAUACCCUGGUAGUCCACGCCGUAAACGAUGGAUACUAGCUGUUGGGAGCAAUCUCAGUGGCUAAGCGAAAGUGAUAAGUAUCCCACCUGGGGAGUACGUUCGCAAGAAUGAAACUCAAAGGAAUUGACGG